rnacentral:rRNA from 1 species
UACGGAGGGUGCAAGCGUUGCUCGGAAUUAUUGGGCGUAAAGGGUAGGUAGGUGGUCUCAUUUGUCUGGGGUGAAAGCCUUGAGCUUAACUCAAGAAGUGCCCCAGAAACGGUGAGACUGGAGUCCUGGAGAGGGUCGUGGAAUUCCCGGUGUAGCGGUGAAAUGCGCAGAUAUCGGGAGGAACACCAGUAGCGAAGGCGACACUCUGGGCCGGUACUGACGCUGAGGAGCGAAAGCGUGGGGAGCAAACAGG